rnacentral:rRNA from 1 species
GCAAGCAUGUGAGNGUAAGCAAAUCUCAAAAAUAACGUCUCAGUUCGGAUUGUAGUCUGCAACCCGACUACAUGAAGCUGGAAUCGCUAGUAAUCGCGAAUCAGAAUGUCGCGGUGAAUACGUUCCCGGGUCUUGUACACACCGCCCGUCACACCAUGGGAGUCGGUAACGCCCGAAGCCUGUGACCCAACCUAAUAGGAGGGAGCAGUCGAAGGUAGGACCGGUGACUGGGGUGAAGUCGUAACAAGGUAGC